UCCCUCUCGGGGUGGCACCUGGAGAGUUUCCAGUACUCUACCAGUCUCAGCUGUGGGAGGAAGAAUCAAGCAGAGACCUACUCACUCUAUUCCUAGCUUGGUCAGUGGCUAGCGAGUGGAAGGCGAUCUGCUACAAGU
rnacentral:snoRNA from 1 species